CACGUAGGGGGCAAGCGUUGUCCGGAUUCAUUGGGCGUAAAGAGCUCGUAGGCGGUUCGAUAAGUCGGGUGUGAAACCUCCAGGCUCAACCUGGAGACGCCACCCGAUACUGUCGUGACUAGAGUCCAGUAGGGGAGCGUGGAAUUCCUGGUGUAGCGGUGAAAUGCGCAGAUAUCAGGAGGAACACCAGCGGCGAAGGCGGCGCUCUGGCUGGAACUGACGCUGAGGAGCGAAAGCGUGGGGAGCGAAC
rnacentral:rRNA from 1 species